UUCAGAUCGUUUGGCAAACGUACAUAAAUUUGUCAGGCCACAGUGUUACUUUUGUCAGGCAAACGUAUACAAUCAACUUCCCCCCAUAUUAAAGGAUUUACCGAAGAAAUACUCUAAAAUUUUCUUCAGGCAAACGUAAUUUCCCACCGAGGAGUGGAAGUACAAGCAGUACCUGUACUAGAGCAUUUUCUGUUGAAGCUCCUAACCAUCCACCCCCGGAGUUUGCAGAGAGGAAUGACCAGUGAGAGUGGAUGUGUGGUCAUUUUUAAAGCCCUAAUUUCUUAAAAAAAUAUCCACCCCCGGAGUUUGCAGAGAGGAAUGACCAGUGAGAGUGGAUGUGUGGUCAUUUUUAAAGCCCUAAUUUCUUAAAAAAAAAAAAUUAAAAAUUAAAAUUUAAUAUUUUUUUUUUUAUUUUACAGCGUAAAUCGGCUGCAAAUAAGGUUAACCGAGAAGCGAAGCCGUACAUUUAUCACUCUUGUUCUCAUCCCCUCACUUUUCGAGUCCAAGAACGACGUGAUAAGGGUUCGUUUUUCUCGGAAGUCGAGGCUUGGGGAUACGAAUGAUCAUAAUGGCAACCAGGUGGUUAAUGACAUUUAUAAGGACAAGUGCCUCGCCAACCUCUACCAGCAGCAACCGGACAUGCCAAUGGAGGAGCUGACACCCAAUCUAGAGGUGUCUCUAUAGUUAUUGAUAGAUGGGGUUGUGUGAUGGAAAGGAAAAGAACUCCACGACCUAGAAGUAGGUCGGGUUCGGGACCUCGGGAGAUCUUCUUCAUCUAAGUCUCAGACUUCAAGCGGGAUGUCUUCCAUACUGCAGCAAUUGGAGAUUGAGCUAACGGACCUACGACAAUGAGAAGAAGAAGCUUGGGAAGGAGCGCGCCAGCGAGAAGAAGCUCAAAAGCAGCUGCAUGCCAGCGAGAGGAGGCCCCUUCCACGACACAUUGCUGAGAUGACCCAAGUAAUGGCAGCCUCUGGCAUUCACCUUCUGGAUCCUUCUAGCGAUUUUCAGCUGCCAUUCCACCAAUCACCCCAGUAGUCGCACUUAGUUUAUGAUUUUUAUAUACAUUUGCACGAAUAAUUAUUUUUA